rnacentral:tRNA from 1 species
GGCCCCGUGGCGGAAUGGCAGACGCAGUGGGCUUAAAACCCACGGACCCUCGGGUCGUCCCGGUUCGACCCCGGGCGGGGCUA